rnacentral:rRNA from 3 species
GGUUAAGCGACUAAGCGUACACGGUGGAUGCCCUGGCAGUCAGAGGCGAUGAAGGGCGUGCUAAUCUGCGAUAAGCGCCGGUAAGGUGAUAUGAACCGUUAUAACCGGCGAUACCCGAAUGGGGAAACCCAGUGUGAUUCGUCACACUAUCAUUAACUGAAUCCAUAGGUUAAUGAGGCGAACCGGGGGAACUGAAACAUCUAAGUACCCCGAGGAAAAGAAAUCAACCGAGAUUCCCCCAGUAGCGGCGAGCGAACGGGGAGGAGCCCAGAGCCUGAAUCAGCAUGUGUGUUAGUGGAAGCGUCUGGAAAGGCGCGCGAUACAGGGUGACAGCCCCGUACACAAAAGCGCAUGUGCUGUGAGCUCGAUGAGUAGGGCGGGACACGUGGUAUCCUGUCUGAAUAUGGGGGGACCAUCCUCCAAGGCUAAAUACUCCUGACUGACCGAUAGUGAACCAGUACCGUGAGGGAAAGGCGAAAAGAACCCCGGCGAGGGGAGUGAAAAAGAACCUGAAACCGUGUACGUACAAGCAGUGGGAGCACCCUUUGGGUGUGACUGCGUACCUUUUGUAUAAUGGGUCAGCGACUUAUAUUCUGUAGCAAGGUUAACCGAAUAGGGGAGCCGGAGGGAAACCGAGUCUUAACCGGGCGUUAAGUUGCAGGGUAUAGACCCGAAACCCGGUGAUCUAGCCAUGGGCAGGUUGAAGGUUGGGUAACACUAACUGGAGGACCGAACCGACUAAUGUUGAAAAAUUAGCGGAUGACCUGUGGCUGGGGGUGAAAGGCCAAUCAAACCGGGAGAUAGCUGGUUCUCCCCGAAAGCUAUUUAGGUAGCGCCUCGUGAAUUCAUCUCCGGGGGUAGAGCACUGUUUCGGCUAGGGGGCCAUCCCGGCUUACCAACCCGAUGCAAACUGCGAAUACCGGAGAAUGUUAUCACGGGAGACACACGGCGGGUGCUAACGUCCGUCGUGAAGAGGGAAACAACCCAGACCGCCAGCUAAGGUCCCAAAGUCAUGGUUAAGUGGGAAACGAUGUGGGAAGGCCCAGACAGCCAGGAUGUUGGCUUAGAAGCAGCCAUCAUUUAAAGAAAGCGUAAUAGCUCACUGGUCGAGUCGGCCUGCGCGGAAGAUGUAACGGGGCUAAACCAUGCACCGAAGCUGCGGCAGCGACACUGUGUGUUGUUGGGUAGGGGAGCGUUCUGUAAGCCUGUGAAGGUGUGUCGUGAGGCAUGCUGGAGGUAUCAGAAGUGCGAAUGCUGACAUAAGUAACGAUAAAGCGGGUGAAAAGCCCGCUCGCCGGAAGACCAAGGGUUCCUGUCCAACGUUAAUCGGGGCAGGGUGAGUCGACCCCUAAGGCGAGGCCGAAAGGCGUAGUCGAUGGGAAACGGGUUAAUAUUCCCGUACUUGGUGUUACUGCGAAGGGGGGACGGAGAAGGCUAUGUUGGCCGGGCGACGGUUGUCCCGGUUUAAGCGUGUAGGUGUGUGUUCCAGGUAAAUCCGGUUCACUUUAACACUGAGGCGUGACGACGAGGCACUACGGUGCUGAAGCAACAAAUGCCCUGCUUCCAGGAAAAGCCUCUAAGCAUCAGGUAACAUCAAAUCGUACCCCAAACCGACACAGGUGGUCAGGUAGAGAAUACCAAGGCGCUUGAGAGAACUCGGGUGAAGGAACUAGGCAAAAUGGUGCCGUAACUUCGGGAGAAGGCACGCUGACACGUAGGUGAAGUGAUUUACUCAUGGAGCUGAAGUCAGUCGAAGAUACCAGCUGGCUGCAACUGUUUAUUAAAAACACAGCACUGUGCAAACACGAAAGUGGACGUAUACGGUGUGACGCCUGCCCGGUGCCGGAAGGUUAAUUGAUGGGGUCAGCGCAAGCGAAGCUCCUGAUCGAAGCCCCGGUAAACGGCGGCCGUAACUAUAACGGUCCUAAGGUAGCGAAAUUCCUUGUCGGGUAAGUUCCGACCUGCACGAAUGGCGUAAUGAUGGCCAGGCUGUCUCCACCCGAGACUCAGUGAAAUUGAACUCGCUGUGAAGAUGCAGUGUACCCGCGGCAAGACGGAAAGACCCCGUGAACCUUUACUAUAGCUUGACACUGAACAUUGAGCCUUGAUGUGUAGGAUAGGUGGGAGGCUUUGAAGUGUGGACGCCAGUCUGCAUGGAGCCGACCUUGAAAUACCACCCUUUAAUGUUUGAUGUUCUAACGUGGACCCGUUACCCGGGUUGCGGACAGUGUCUGGUGGGUAGUUUGACUGGGGCGGUCUCCUCCUAAAGAGUAACGGAGGAGCACGAAGGUUGGCUAAUCCUGGUCGGACAUCAGGAGGUUAGUGCAAUGGCAUAAGCCAGCUUGACUGCGAGCGUGACGGCGCGAGCAGGUGCGAAAGCAGGUCAUAGUGAUCCGGUGGUUCUGAAUGGAAGGGCCAUCGCUCAACGGAUAAAAGGUACUCCGGGGAUAACAGGCUGAUACCGCCCAAGAGUUCAUAUCGACGGCGGUGUUUGGCACCUCGAUGUCGGCUCAUCACAUCCUGGGGCUGAAGUAGGUCCCAAGGGUAUGGCUGUUCGCCAUUUAAAGUGGUACGCGAGCUGGGUUUAGAACGUCGUGAGACAGUUCGGUCCCUAUCUGCCGUGGGCGCUGGAGAACUGAGGGGGGCUGCUCCUAGUACGAGAGGACCGGAGUGGACGCAUCACUGGUGUUCGGGUUGUCAUGCCAAUGGCACUGCCCGGUAGCUAAAUGCGGAAGAGAUAAGUGCUGAAAGCAUCUAAGCACGAAACUUGCCCCGA